rnacentral:rRNA from 1 species
CAGCCGCCACGGUAAUACAGAGGGUGCAAGCGUUAAUCGGAUUUACUGGGCGUAAAGGGCGCGUAGGUGGUUAUUUAAGUGAGAUGUGAAAGCCCCGGGCUUAACCUGGGAACUGCAUCUUAUACUGGGUAACUGGAGUGCAGUAGAGGGUAGUGGAAUUUCCGGUGUAGCGGUGAAAUGCGUAGAUAUCGGAAGGAACACCAGUGGCGAAGGCGGCUACCUGGACUGAGACUGACACUGAGGCGCGAGAGCGUGGGGAGCAAACAGGAUUAGAUACCCCCGUAGUCCCUGUCUCUUAUAA